CCUGGGAAGAAGGAAAAAGAUGAGUAAAUCAGGGGGAAAGGACCCCAGGGUUUCUUUUCCUGCUAUGAGGCAAGUAUAUUCUACAGAACUGGACAGUGACAACCAUCACUCCUCAAUCACCCAGCGUGUCACCAGCCCAGAAUUUGGCAGUGAGUCCCAAGGAGUCAAAAGCCUUCUAAGAAGUUAACAGAAGUACCAUGAAACAUGUGCAGACAGCUCAGGUGAUAUGGAAACUGGAAAGAGCAUGGAUUUUGGAGUCAGUCUUGAAUUUAAGUCCUUACUAGCAUUGUGACUUUGGGUAAGUGAAUUAAAUUCUCUGAGCCUUGGUUUCCAUGUAUGUAAAUAGGGAUAACAAUACCUGCUUACAGGGUUGGUAUGAGAAUGAAUUCAGCUAAGGUAUGUAAAACGUUAAAUGUUUGAGUCAGUCCAACCUGACUGAUUCAAAUCCAGAUAAAUGUUAAAUGUUUGAGUCAGUCCAACCUGAGUCUAAAUUCUAACUUUGCUAUGUACUAACCAAGAGACCUUUGAAAGUCUCUCAACUGCAAUUUCCUCCCCUAUAAAACGGGGACAAUAAUACUUAAAAUCAAAGGGUUGGUGUGAGGAUGAAAUUUUAUGAAUGUAUGUACACUGCAGCUCAAAUGUCUUCUCAGAAAGGCCUUUCUUGAUCACCCUAUUUAGAGCAGCUCCUCAUAAGUCACCAUUUUCUUCACAGCACUUACUAUGAUCUGAAAUUGUCUACAUUUUUAUUAUCCAUGAGGGCCAUGAACCUUGUUUGCCUUGUUUAGCUUGUUGUCCCUGGUACCUAGAAUAGUGUCUGCCCCAUAGAAGGUGCUGAAUAAAUAUUUGUAAAUGAAUUUAUAUAAAAGAUUCUCAAGAGUGGCAGCUAUUGGAUAUUUUCUCAACUCUGGCUUGCCUUCAAUAUUAUUUUAAAUUUAAUUAGACUCUGCCUUGUCAGAAGGAGCUCUGAGUGAAAUGUUUUUUAAAAUGUCCUACGUUACUUUUUUAUAUGUUUGAACAAUUUUAUAAUAACAGUAGUCUUACAGAUAGGGAUCAUUUUAAUGGAGGAAAAAACUAGGUUAAACUAAAAAAUAUAACUAAAGGGCACCUCCAUUGGUAGGGAACUGGAUUUUGGAUUUUACGACAUCUAUAUAAAGGACAGAAUGAGGUAGAUCUCUAUAAACUUAUGUGAAAGGCUGUCCAUAAUGCAAUAAUGUAAGUGAAUAAAAAGUUACAGAACAAUAUGUAUAGAGCGAUCCUAUUUAUGUAAAAACAUGUAUAUCAGUAUGUGUAAGUGUGUAUAUAUUUGCAGAUGCAUAGAGAGAGCAUUGGAGCAGUUACGAUUGGGAAGGGGAAAUCUUUCACCUUUUUAAUUCUACAUUUUCACAUUGACUCUUUUACAACAAGCAUGUACUAUUUCUGUGACUGGGUGGAUAGUGAUUCCAUUAAUGGAGACGGAGAACACAAGAAAGUACCUGGAUAUUUGUGGGGGGUGGGGAGGUAGGGAAAAGGAAAUGAAAUCAGCUUUGGAUGUGUUUGGUUUAAGUUGCCCAAGGAACAACUCAUAUGCAGAUGUACAACAUGUGAUUGAAUAUUCUGAUAGUCUGGAUAACUGUUCAGCAAAUAUUCACUCUUUUUGCCCUCUUAGUGUGGGCAGAAUAUACUUCUGUGCCCUACUGAUGUGGGAACUUAUGUUGGUGAACCUGGGGCAAGCAAAGCCUUGAAAUAUACUUGCUCAGUGGGGCUUAUGUUUGUGAGCUUCAGAUAACACCAUGAGAAGAUCAGGUCCUGGCUAGUUCACUGGUCUAAGAUGGAUAAGAGACAUAUGGAGUACCCAGCCAACUUGCCAACUGCAGCCUGGAGUAGAGCUGCUCCAGCUAGACCUAUAAGCAUGAUAAUAAACACUUAUUACUGUAAA